rnacentral:rRNA from 1 species
AAUGAACGCUGGCGGCAGGCCUAACACAUGCAAGUCGAACGGAUCCUUCGGGAUUAGUGGCGGACGGGUGAGUAACGCGUGGGAACAUACCCAAAGGUACGGAAUAGCCUCGGGAAACUGGGAGUAAUACCGUAUGUGCUCGAAAGAGGAAAGAUUUAUCGCCUUUGGAUUGGCCCGCGUUGGAUUAGGUAGUUGGUGGGGUAAUGGCCUACCAAGCCGACGAUCCAUAGCCGGUUUGAGAGGAUGAACAGCCACACUGGGACUGGGACACGGCCUAGACUCCUGCGGGAGGCAGCAGUGGGUAAUCUUAGACAAUGGGGGAAACCCUGAUCUAGCCAUGCCGCGUGAUCGAUGAAGGCCUUAGGGUUGUAAAGAUCUUUCAGGUGGGAAGAUAAUGACUGUACCACCAGAAGAAGCCCCGGCUAACUCCGUGCCAGCCGCCGCCGUAA